GGGUCAGUAGCUUAAAAGACAGAGCGAUCGGUCUCCAAAACCGAAAGGUGAAGGUAAAAAUCCUUCAUGGCCCG
rnacentral:tRNA from 1 species